GGUGAGCUGGCUGAGUGGUUGAAAGCAGCGGUCUUGAAAACCGCCGUAGGUUAAUAGCCUACCCGGGGUUCGAAUCCCUGGCUCACCG
rnacentral:tRNA from 1 species